AAACUAACAAGGAUUCCCCUAGUAACGGCGAGUGAACCGGGAAGAGCUCAAAUUUGAAAUCUGGCGUCCUCAGGGCGUCCGAGUUGUAAUCUAUAGAGGCGUUUUCCGUGCCGGACCGUGUCCAAGUCCCUUGGAACAGGGUAUCAAAGAGGGUGACAAUCCCGUACUUGACACGACUACCGGUGCUCUGUGAUACGUCUUCUACGAGUCGAGUUGUUUGGGAAUGCAGCUCAAAAUGGGUGGUGAGUUCCAUCUAAAGCUAAAUAUUGGCGAGAGACCGAUAGCGAACAAGUACCGUGAGGGAAAGAUGAAAAGCACUUUGGAAAGAGAGUUAAACAGUACGUGAAAUUGUUGAAAGGGAAACGAUUGAAGUCAGUCGUGACCGAGAGGCUCAGCCGGCUCUGCCGGUGUAUUCCCCUCGGUCGGGUCAACAUCAGUUUUGUCCGGUGGAUAAGGGCGGCAGGAAUGUGGCACCCUCGGGUGUGUUAUAGCCUGCUGUCGCAUACACCGGGUGAGACUGAGGAACGCAGCUCGCCUUUAUGGCCGGGGCCCGCCCACGUACGAGCUUAGGAUGUUGACGUAAUGGCUUUAAACGACCCGUCUUGAAACACGGACC
rnacentral:rRNA from 1 species